rnacentral:rRNA from 1 species
GGAUUAGAUACCCUGGUAGUCCACGCCGUAAACGAUGGAUGCUAGGUGUCGGGGAGCGAUCUUCGGUGCCGUAGUUAACGCGUUAAGCAUCCCGCCUGGGGAGUACGGUCGCAAGGCUGAAACUCAAAGAAAUUGACGGGGGCCCGCACAAGCGGUGGAGUAUGUGGUUUAAUUCGAUGCAACGCGAAGAACCUUACCUGGGUUUGACAUCCUUGGAAUCUUCUGGAGACAGUUGAGUGCCCUUCGGGGAACCAAGUGACAGGUGCUGCAUGGCUGUCGUCAGCUCGUGCCG